GUGCUGACUUCAGCAGCACAUACACUAAAAUUGAAAUGCUAUAGAGAUUAGCAUAGCCUCUGCGCAAGGAUGACACGCAAAUUCGUGAAGCACUGCAGAUUUCU
ensembl:snRNA U6 U6 spliceosomal RNA